AUCGCCGGGCCUUUGGCUAAGAUCAUGUAGUAUCUGUUCUUAUCAGUUUAAUAUUCGAUACGCCCUCUACCCGAGACCAUAUAUUAAUCUGAUUUUUGAACAGGGAGACGGAAGAGGGGCUUGCUCCGUCCGGGCUUCCACGCAUCGUGACCCGGUAUGUGCAGCGAUUCGAACGGUGCAUCCCUU